rnacentral:misc_RNA from 1 species
UUUUUUUUUUUUUUUUAAAAAAAAAUUAUCCCCAUUUGACAUUAUUAUUAUUUAAAUAGUACACCAUCCACAAUACACAAUCCAACCCACACCCAUCGGGUGUAUUCCCCAACUUCAAUUCAAUUUCUUCAUGGGCACGUGCACAUCCCCAGCCAUGGUGAUAAAACUGAUCGUCUUUAGGCUCAAAUCUAUUUGAAGUUCUGUUUGGAUUUAUGACCCUUCCCCGUUC